rnacentral:rRNA from 1 species
AUUGAACGCUGGCGGCAUGCCUUACACAUGCAAGUCGAACGGCAGCACGGGUGCUUGCACCUGUUGGCGAGUGGCGAACGGGUGAGUAAUACAUCGGAACAUGUCCUGUAGUGGGGGAUAGCCCGGCGAAAGCCGGAUUAAUACCGCAUACGAUCUACGGAUGAAAGCGGGGGACCUUCGGGCCUCGCGCUAUAGGGUUGGCCGAUGGCUGAUUAGCUAGUUGGUGGGGUAAAGGCCUACCAAGGCGACGAUCAGUAGCUGGUCUGAGAGGACGACCAGCCACACUGGGACUGAGACACGGACCAGACUCCUACGGGAGGCAGCAGUGGGGAAUUUUGGACAAUGGGCGAAAGCCUGAUCCAGCAAUGCCGCGUGUGUGAAGAAGGCCUUCGGGUUGUAAAGCACUUUUGUCCGGAAAGAAAUCCUUGGCCCUAAUACGGUCGGGGGAUGACGGUACCGGAAGAAUAAGCACCGGCUAACUACGUG